rfam:Dipodomys ordii contig_68438, whole genome shotgun sequence.
GGUGGCUCAGUGGUAGAGUGCUUGCCUUACCUGCAUGAGGCCCUGGGUUCAAUUCCUCAGCACCA